UGCGGAAUUUUAGAUAAUGGAGGCAACUCUGAUCUAGCGACGCCGCGUGCAGGAAGAAGGUCUUCAGAUUGUAAACUGCUGUGGUAAGGGAAAAAUGUCAUGUAGAGUGGAAGGCUACAUGGAGGGAUGGUACUUUACUAGAAAGCCCCGGCUAACUACGUGCCAGCAGUCGCGGUAAUACGUAGGGGGCGAGCGUUACCCGGAAUCACUGGGCGUAAAGGGAGCGUAGGUGGCCUGACAUGUCAACUGUGAAAACCCGGAGCUCAACUCCGGACUUGCAGUUGAAACUGCCAGGCUUGAGGACGGUAGAGGAAGACGGAACUGCCAGUGUAGGGGUAAAAUCCUUAGAUAUUGGCAGGAACGCCGGUGACGAAGGUGGUUUUCUGGGCCGGUUCUGACACUGAUGCUCGAAAGCCAGGGGAGCGAACGG
rnacentral:rRNA from 1 species